rnacentral:rRNA from 1 species
UACGUAGGGGCAAGCGUUAUCCGGAUUUACUGGGUGUAAAGGGAGCGCAGACGGAACUGCAAGUCUGAUGUGAAAGCCCGGGGCUCAACCGCGGGACUGCAUUUGAAACUAUCAAACUGGAGUGCAGGAGAGGUAAGUGGAAUUCCUAGUGUAGCGGUGAAAUGCGUAGAUAUUAGGAGGAACACCAGUGGCGAAGGCGGCUUACUGGACUGUAACUGACGUUGAGGCUCGAAAGCGUGGGGAGCAAACAGGAUUAGAUACCCCGGUAGUCCCU